UGGAGAUGGUAGACUAGACUGGAGAUGGUUGACUAGACUGGAGAUGGCAGACUAGACUGGAGAUGGCAGACUAGACUGGAGAUGGCAGACUAGACUGGAGAUGGUUGAUGAUGAUAAAUCGGACCUUUUCUGAAAUACAUCUCGUUGUGUCUCGAUACACCUGUAUCAGUGGUGUUUUGGUGUCCGCGUGGACAAGACAGCAUGCCUGAUGUGGUUCUCCCCGGGGUAUCACGUACACAUGUCAUCCGUCCAUCUAUCACGGUGUACUGCUUUAGUUACCACGCCAUAUGCGCUGUCUCCAGGACAACCGAAUAAGAGGAAGAAAAGGUGUGCAGGCGGCGAGGGUUGUCAUGGAUACGCCAGGCAGUCAUAGUGGUGAUCAGAUGCACAGCCACCCUCCCCUUGGUAACGGAACAACAAUAGGAACCAAUCUGCAAGGUGUUUGUUUCCCUUUGAUUCCUACUGUGUGUUGCACGGUGCGGAGAGAGCUAGGCCUCUGAGUUAAGUAGCUCUACACAAACUGUGUGUAAUAGUGGAGCAAGGGAUGUGUGUGUGUGUGUGUGUGUGUGUGUGUGUGUGUGUGUGUGCGUGUGUGUGCACACAUGCACACACACGCACACGCACGCGCACGCACACACAGACACACACACACAGACACACACACACACACACACACACACACACACAGACACAGACACACACACACAGACACACACACAGACAC
ensembl:lncRNA